GCCUUCGUGGUGUAGUGGUCUGCAUGCUAGACGCGUAACCGAGAGGUCCGUGGUUCGAUUCCCAGCGAAGGCG
rnacentral:tRNA from 1 species